rnacentral:rRNA from 1 species
UUGAACGCUGGCGGCAGGCCUAACACAUGCAAGUCGAACGGUAACAGGAAGCAGCUUGCUGCUUCGCUGACGAGUGGCGGACGGGUGAGUAAUGUCUGGGAGGCUGCCUGAUGGAGGGGGAUAACUACUGGAAACGGUAGCUAAUACCGCAUAAUGUCGCAAGACCAAAGAGGGGGACCUUCGGGCCUCUUGCCAUCGGAUGUGCCCAGAUGGGAUUAGCUUGUUGGUGGGGUAACGGCUCACCAAGGCGACGAUCCCUAGCUGGUCUGAGAGGAUGACCAGCCACACUGGAACUGAGACACGGUCCAGACUCCUACGGGAGGCAGCAGUGGGGAAUAUUGCACAAUGGGCGCAAGCCUGAUGCAGCCAUGCCGCGUGUAUGAAGAAGGCCUUCGGGUUGUAAAGUACUUUCAGCGGGGAGGAAGGGAGUAAAGUUAAUACCUUUGCUCAUUGACGUUACCCGCAGAAGAAGCACCGGCUAACUCCGUG